rnacentral:rRNA from 1 species
UACGUAGGGAGCAAGCGUUGUUCGGAUUUACUGGGCGUAAAGGGCGCGAGUAGGCGGCAAAUUAAGUCAGCUGUGAAAUCUCCGAGCUUAAACUCGGAACGGUCAGCUGAUACUGAUCUGCUAGAGUGCGGAAGGGGCAAUCGGAAUUCUUGGUGUGAGCGGUGAAAUGACGUAGAUAUCAAGAGGAACACCUGAGGUGAAGACGGGUUGCUGGGCUGACACUGACGCUGAGGCGCGAAAGCCAGGGGGGCAAACGGG